ensembl:lncRNA
UCUGACGUGGUUGGAGCUCACACUGGGUGGCACGGGACGCAUCUCUGCACACCAUUACCGUUACCACCGUCAUUGUGGACAGCGAGGAUCUGAUUGGCCCUCUGCGACGCGGCAGGCCUACUGUGACUCUGUUUUUACGGCUUGAUCUGCGAAGGAAAAUCGUUUUUUUGGUCGUGUUUUGAUGCUACAUCGGUGCCCAGCAUGGUCCCUGGGGUAUUCUCGGCGCAUUUGAGACAAAGUCUGCCCCCUCAAGUAGGCCAGGAGCUGGGGGAGUUCAAGGCAGUCUCCUGCUUGACGAUCUAUUGGGUGGAUGUUGACUUCAGCGUGCUGCUGCAGGACUGCAGGAUUCCCUGAGCGCCACACUCUACUCGACUGUAUCGUUUGCUCAGUUCAACCGAGAGCUAAAACCGCGUUCAAGAGACCAACCAUCAACUGGAAGUCUACUCAUGUACAGACAGAGUUGACGGAAAAACCUUUUUCCGGACAAUGGAAAAGGAAGGACUGAGCGGGAGAAGCCGGGAGCGAUACCCACGCUGACCUCAACGACGGACCGGGCCCGGACACGCCUCACCUUUUUCCCCCAUUGUGGAAGAAACCUAAGUUCC